GAUGAAGAACGUAGCGAGAUGCGAUAAGUAAUGUGAAUUGCAGAAUUCAGUGAAUCAUAGAAUCUUUGAACGCACCUUGCACCCUUUGGAAUUCCAAAGGGUAUGCUCGUUUGAGUGUCAUUGUACUCUCACACUCUCCGAUCCUUUGGAUUUGGGGAGCGGUGGACUUGGGUGCUUGCUGCUUUCAUUGUGGCUCACCUCAAAUGUGUCAGAGCAUCUCUUGAUUGGACAUAGUACGGCGUGAAAUGUGUCUUCGCCGGCACCUCAUAAGAGGGUGGCCGAUCAGGAGCUCUGUGCUUUCAAACUGUCUUCGGACAAUCUCUGACAACUUGACCUCAAAUCGAGUAGGACUACCCGCUGAACUUAAGCAUAUCAAUAAGCGGAGGA
rnacentral:misc_RNA from 1 species